UACGUAGGGUCCGAGCGUUGUCCGGAAUUACUGGGCGUAAAGGGCUCGUAGGCGGCCAACUAAGUCAGACGUGAAAUCCCCAGGCUCAACCUGGGAACUGCGUCUGAUACUGGAUGGCUUGAAUCCGGGAGAGGGAUGCAGAAUUCCAGGUGUAGCGGUGAAAUGCGUAGAUAUCUGGAGGAAUACCGGUGGCGAAGGCGGCAUCCUGGACCGGCAUUGACGCUGAGGAGCGAAAGCCAGGGGAGCAAACGGG
rnacentral:rRNA from 1 species